UGAACAGAAUAAAAAUAUAAAUAAAAUAGACUCAUUAAAAUACACAAAUAAGAAUAAAGUUUAUAAAGAUUAAAAUAUUAAAUAUAAAAUAAAACAUGAAAAAUGAGGCAAAACAUAACACAUGAAAUAUACAGAGGUUUUAUAAGUCUUUACAUAAAGGCCAGACUAAAAAAUAUAUGUUUUUAAUUUAGAUAUAAAACUAUUAAUGUUUUCAGCACAUCUUAUGUUCUCUGGAAGAUUGUUCCAGAGACAAGGAGCAUAAUGGCUAAAACCAGACUGAAACAUCUCUAGUUUCAAAUUUGCAUUUAAGAACGUACUCAACUGAUUAAAAACUAUUUUCUCUAAUAUUUUACUUUAAAUUGUAAGAUUUGAGAUGGGUCUAUAAUUAGUAGGAGUUAAAAUAUCUGAGCUCCCUUUUUUAUACACAGGUUUGACUAGGGCAGAUUUAAGAUCAGAAGGGAAAAUGCCAAGCUGCAGGAAGUGAUUUACUUUCUCAAGGUUAUCAAUAGAUAUGGAGUCAAACAUCCUUUUAAAAAGAGAGAAUUACGACAAUUCACAAGUUCGCCCUGCAGAUAACAAGUAUUUGACGUGCUGUCCGGGGAGAGGGCUCCGAGCUCUGCACUGUAGGAAUGGGUCGACGGUGAGGAGUCGAGGUGGUGGAGGGAUGCUGAAAGACUAGAGGGAAUGAAGGUACGGCUGCUAUGAUUAUUUAUAGUGGUUCUCUCUCGUGGUGGUUGGAUAGAUGAUGUGAUUACUGCUCCUCCCAAAAUUUGUUGAUAAAACAUCACUUAGUGGGUCCUGACACAUGUUGUCACAACUCGGUUAAGAUUAGAAUGUAUCUAAAUGUAAAUCCCAGUGCAUAUAAACUUUGUGGAUGUUUGCAGACUUCAUCUGCAAUCAGUGCCAAUUCAGACAGAUAAUUCUGUAGUGACCUAUGAAUAGUAACUAGUAAAAAUCUCAAAGGGAUUUAUUGUUUAUAUUAUUUUUCCAGAGGAUUAUACUAAAACCAAACCUCUGAAAAAUACUAAAAAAUGUUACAGCUGUUACAGCAUGUUUAAAUCCGUAAGGUUGGUGGGAAACUCCUUUAAAGUUAUCUAAUUAUCUGGCACAUAUGUCACUUUACCAUUUAAUUUAUCUUGUAAUAACUUAGCAUUCUGUUAUGUUUUCCUAAACCAAAGUAAACAAACACACAGAGCAGCCUUGAAAAACAAUGACAAUAUCCAAAAUGAAACUGAAGAAACUCCGGAGUGUAAAUGCACAGGAAGAUAACUAACUAAACAGAAACAAGUGUGUUGGAUGUCAUAGAAUGUAUUCAUGGCAGGACAAGGAGUUGUGCUGAAUUUUUUUCAGUGUUUACUCCAACAUGGCUAAAAAGGGACAACCACUUUUCUUUUCCUUGCAGCUUAUGGCAUCUAAACUUGAAGCUUGUUGGCAGAAUAAAUAACCCUAGGGUGGAUUAGGUG
ensembl:lncRNA